UGGGGAAUAUUGGACAAUGGGCGCAAGCCUGAUCCAGCCAUGCCGCGUGUGUGAAGAAGACCUUCGGGUUGUAAAGCACUUUUGUCCGGAAAGAAAUCCUGUCGGCUAAUACCCGGCGGGGAUGACGGUACCGGAAGAAUAAGCACCGGCUAACUUCGUGCCAGCAGCCGCGGUAAUACGAAGGGUGCAAGCGUUACUCGGAAUUACUGGGCGUAAAGCGUGCGUAGGUGGUUUGUUAAGUCUGAUGUGAAAGCCCUGGGCUCAACCUGGGAACUGCAUUGGAUACUGGCUUACUAGAGUGCGGUAGAGGGUGGCGGAAUUCCCGGUGUAGCAGUGAAAUGCGUAGACAUCGGGAGGAACAUCCGUGGCGAAGGCGGCCACCUGGACCAGCACUGACACUGAGGCACGAAAGCGUGGGGAGCAAACAGGAUUAGAUACCCUGGUAGUCCACGCCCUAAACGAUGCGAACUGGAUGUUGGGAGCAACUAGGCUCUCAGUAUCGAAGCUAACGCGUUAAGUUCGCCGCCUGGGAAGUACGGUCGCAAGACUGAAACUUAAA
rnacentral:rRNA from 1 species